ACCCCGUGGGCGGCGUGCUAAUACAUGCAAGUCGAACGAACUCUGGUAUUGAUUGGUGCUUGCAUCAUGAUUUACAUUUGAGUGAGUGGCGAACUGGUGAGUAACACGUGGGAAACCUGCCCAGAAGCGGGGGAUAACACCUGGAAACAGAUGCUAAUACCGCAUAACAACUUGGACCGCAUGGUCCGAGCUUGAAAGAUGGCUUCGGCUAUCACUUUUGGAUGGUCCCGCGGCGUAUUAGCUAGAUGGUGGGGUAACGGCUCACCAUGGCAAUGAUACGUAGCCGACCUGAGAGGGUAAUCGGCCACAUUGGGACUGAGACACGGCCCAAACUCCUACGGGAGGCAGCAGUAGGGAAUCUUCCACAAUGGACGAAAGUCUGAUGGAGCAACGCCGCGUGAGUGAAGAAGGGUUUCGGCUCGUAAAACUCUGUUGUUAAAGAAGAACAUAUCUGAGAGUAACUGUUCAGGUAUUGACGGUAUUUAACCAGAAAGCCACGGCUAACUACGUGCCAGCAGCCGCGGUAAUACGUAGGUGGCAAGCGUUGUCCGGAUUUAUUGGGCGUAAAGCGAGCGCAGGCGGUUUUUUAAGUCUGAUGUGAAAGCCUUCGGCUCAACCGAAGAAGUGCAUCGGAAACUGGGAAACUUGAGUGCAGAAGAGGACAGUGGAACUCCAUGUGUAGCGGUGAAAUGCGUAGAUAUAUGGAAGAACACCAGUGGCGAAGGCGGCUGUCUGGUCUGUAACUGACGCUGAGGCUCGAAAGUAUGGGUAGCAAACAGGAUUAGAUACCCUGGUAGUCCAUACCGUAAACGAUGAAUGCUAAGUGUUGGAGGGUUUCCGCCCUUCAGUGCUGCAGCUAACGCAUUAAGCAUUCCGCCUGGGGAGUACGGCCGCAAGGCUGAAACUCAAAGGAAUUGACGGGGGCCCGCACAAGCGGUGGAGCAUGUGGUUUAAUUCGAAGCUACGCGAAGAACCUUACCAGGUCUUGACAUACUAUGCAAAUCUAAGAGAUUAGACGUUCCCUUCGGGGACAUGGAUACAGGUGGUGCAUGGUUGUCGUCAGCUCGUGUCGUGAGAUGUUGGGUUAAGUCCCGCAACGAGCGCAACCCUUAUUAUCAGUUGCCAGCAUUAAGUUGGGCACUCUGGUGAGACUGCCGGUGACAAACCGGAGGAAGGUGGGGAUGACGUCAAAUCAUCAUGCCCCUUAUGACCUGGGCUACACACGUGCUACAAUGGAUGGUACAACGAGUUGCGAACUCGCGAGAGUAAGCUAAUCUCUUAAAGCCAUUCUCAGUUCGGAUUGUAGGCUGCAACUCGCCUACAUGAAGUCGGAAUCGCUAGUAAUCGCGGAUCAGCAUGCCGCGGUGAAUACGUUCCCGGGCCUUGUACACACCGCCCGUCACACCAUGAGAGUUUGUAACACCCAAAGUCGGUGGGGUAACCUUUUAGGAACCAGCCGCAUAAGUGAACAAAAAUUG
rnacentral:rRNA from 1 species